GCGCGAGUAGCUCAGUUGGAUAGAGCGUCGGCCUCCGGAGCCGAAGGUCGUGGGUUCGAAUCCCGCCUCGCGCAUCA
rnacentral:tRNA from 1 species